rnacentral:rRNA from 1 species
UACGUAGGGUCCGAGCGUUGUCCGGAAUUAUUGGGCGUAAAGAGCUCGUAGGCGGUUUUGUCGCGUCUGCUGUGAAAUCCCGAGGCUCAACCUCGGGUCUGCAGUGGGUACGGGCAGACUGGAGUGCGGUAGGGGGAGAAUGGAAUUCCUGGUGUAGCGGUGGAAAUGCGCAGAUAUCAGGAGGAACACCGAUGGCGAAGGCAGUUCUCUGGGCCGUAACUGACGCUGAGGAGCGAAAGCGUGGGGAGCGAACAGG